AUGGCAGUGACGUGCGAUCGAGAGGCCUUCCUGUCCAUCUGCUUUGUCACCUUGGUCUUCCCGCAGCUCCCACUGGCCAGCAUCUGGAAAGCUGACUUUGAUGUCGUUGGGCCUCAUGCCCCUAUUCUGGCUAUGGCUGGGGGACACGUGGAGUUACAGUGCCAGCUGUUCCCCAAUAUCAGUGCCGAGGACAUGGAGCUGAGGUGGUACAGGUGCCAGCCCUCCCUAGCUGUGCACAUGCACGAGAGAGGGAUGGACAUGGAUGGAGAGCAAAAGUGGCAGUACAGAGGAAGGACCACCUUCAUGAGUGACCACGUGGCCACGGGCAAGGCCAUGGUGAGGAGUCACAGGGUCACCACCUUUGACAACGGGACAUACUGCUGCCGCUUCAAGGAUGGUGUAAAGUUCGGCGAGGACACUGUGCAGGUGCAGGUGGCAGGGCUGGGCACGGAGCGCAGAAUCCAGGUGACAGACCAGCAGGAUGGAGUCAGGGCGGAGUGCACAUCAGCAGGCUGUUUCCCCAAGUCCUGGGUGGAACGGAGAGACUUCAGGGGCCAGGCUAGGCCUGCUGUGACCAAUCUAUCAGCCUCAGCCACCACCAGGCUCUGGGCUGUGGCAUCCAGCUUGACACUCUGGGACAGGGCUGUGGAGGGUCUCUCCUGCUCCAUCUCCAGCCCCCUCCUCCCUGAAAGGAGGAAGGUGGCUGAGAGCCACCUGCCUGCUACCUUUUCCAGAAGCUCCCAGUUCACGGCAUGGAAAGCGGCUCUGCCUCUGAUCCUUGUUGCCAUGGGACUCGUAAUAGCUGGAGGCAUCUGCAUCUUCUGGAAACGUCAAAGGGAAAAGAACAAAGCAUCACUGGAAGAAGAGAGGGAGUGA